GCCGGUGUGGUGGAACUGGUAGACACGCAGGAUUUAGGUUCCUGUGUCCUCGGACGUGCAGGUUCAAGUCCUGUCACCGGCACCC
rnacentral:tRNA from 1 species